ensembl:lncRNA
GGAACAUCAGUUUUGAUAGGUCCUAAAAAUAGAAGAGACCUCAGUCGUGCUGGGAUGUCAUGCUGGCGACAGGGGAAUAGAUGAGUUGACCUUUGGAUGGAAUUCCAUCCUUAAAUCUUCUUAUUCCCCCAUUUCCUUCUUUACUAACAUACCUCCCACUGGUAGCAGCCUUUCAGAGCUCAGUUCGUAGGAGAGUAUAUCAGGUCUGAGGGAUCUUACAGGAAGGAGACAGUGGGCAUAAUAACUCAUUCUGAGCACUGUCUAUGGAUCUUCACACAUUACCUACAUUGUUUUAUUUAAUCCUCAUAACAACCCUAUUAAUGCAGGUACUAUUAUUCUCUCCAUUUCUGCAGAUGAGAAACCUGAGGCUCAGAGAGGUUAAGUGCCUAACUCAAGACCAUAGAGUUCUUAAAUAUCAGAGCUGAGACUUUAAAUCAGACCAUUCUGACUGCAAAGCUCAUGAUCUUAACUUAUAGAUCAUACAGCAUCUAGCGAGAUGGAAGAGGGAAACGGGGCUUUUAACUUUUCUUCUCCUCUUCCUCCACUGAGGCCAAGGUCUAUGCAGCAUCCAGCCAAGCUAAGGACCAAGCAGUUCUCUGGUGAAUCAGGCCACCAGAUCAGCCCUGAGCUAACUACUGCCAAUCCUCCUCUUUUUUUUGCUGAGGAAGACUGGCCCUGAGCUAACAUCCAUGCCCAUCUUCCUCUACUUUUAUAUGUGGGACGCCUACCACAGCACGGCUUUUGCCAAGCAGCGCCAUGUCCACACCCGGGAUCUGAACUGGCGAACCACAGGCCACCGAGAAGCAGAAUGUGCGAACUUAACUGCUGCGCCACCGGGCCAGCCCUGUAACAUUUUUUUAUGCUGUUUAAAUAGCCAGCUGUUUAACUUUGGGGAUGUUUAAGGUUAUAGACUUCAAUCUACUAUUCUACAGCAGGAACACUAUAGUUGUGUACCAAACCUGGAAAGGUGUGCAAGGGGAGGGGCACACUCCUUGAAGGUACCACCAGAAGCCCCAUGGUCCAGAAAUACAACCCAUAUUCAAGUUGCAUUACUCUGUAUAUUUCUUCCCUGAUAUGAGAGAAGUAUAUGAAAACUACUCUGUUCAUUUAAUAUAGCUUCAUCUAUGGCGGUUGUGUUGUCUGUUCACAAAGCUUAUGACUGGUCUCAGAGUCCUUAGAACAGAAUAUUUCAUUUAUCCUGACAAGGGAUACAGUGAGACUGGACUUCCAUUCAUAGACUCUCAGAAGCUGAAUUUCUGGAGAAGGUACUUUUCAAAUAGAAGUGGUAUGUCAGGGGCACACAAGCCACAGAUGAGAUGAUUUUACUCAAUGACGGGUAAUUUGAGCCAAUUAUAUUAAAAUUAUUUUAGCAAAAAAACAUUGAUAUCCUGUGGAGUGGAAUUCAAAAUCUGUACGAAUUUUUAAGAUAAAAUGAGAGACUCCCUUGGAGUUCUCCCUUGAGAAAAGCUCACUGCCUUUUCCCCAUUAGGACUGAGUGGGUGGGAGGCAGGGGGAUGCCCCAUGGGCAAGGCUGUUGUGGGCUCUGAGCCAGACUCAGCCUCCCUUGCCAGGGCAAGUUCAUUUGUCUCUUUGGGAAGUCAUUGUUGGAUCUUUCAAGUAAUCUUCUCCACCUUGCCCUCCAGCCAGAAUUAAUUUCUCCCUCCUCCAUAAGUCCCUUAGCACUGUUUGAACAUUUAUCAUAGUAUUUACCACUAUCUGCCUUGUAUCUGACUGAGUUAUGUGCAUUCUGACCACCCCCUCCAUUGUGAUGUUCUGGAAGGCGAGGUCUCAGUCCUGUUCAACUCAGUAUUCCCAUUCCCAACCCUCAGAGCCUAGCACACUGUCAAGCCGAGUAGAUCUCAGAAAUGUUAGUGAAUUAACUAAUUAAAUGAAUGCGUACAUGCGUGAACGAAUGAAUGAAUGAGCAAAUGGACAUAGACACCAAGUGUUUUAGGAAUUCAGGAGAGGAGGAACCAUUCUGUAUCCCAAUAUUUAGGGCAGAAUUCUUUGUAGCUAUGCCAUUUUUAC